GAUGAACGCUGGCGGCGUGCUUAACACAUGCAAGUCGAACGAAGCACUCUACUUGAUCUCUUCGGAGUGAUUGUUUUGUGACUGAGUGGCGGACGGGUGAGUAACGCGUGGGUAACCUGCCUCAUACAGGGGGAUAACAGUUGGAAACGACUGCUAAUACCGCAUAAGCGCACAGCAUCGCAUGAUGCAGUGUGAAAAACUCCGGUGGUAUGAGAUGGACCCGCGUCUGAUUAGCCAGUUGGUGGGGUAACGGCCUACCAAAGCGACGAUCAGUAGCCGACCUGAGAGGGUUACCGGCCACAUUGGGACUGAGACACGGCCCAAACUCCUACGGGAGGCAGCAGUGGGGAAUAUUGCACAAUGGGGGAAACCCUGAUGCAGCGACGCCGCGUGAGCGAAGAAGUAUUUCGGUAUGUAAAGCUCUAUCAGCAGGGAAGAAGAAAUGACGGUACCUGACUAAGAAGCACCGGCUAAAUACGUGCCAGCAGCCGCGGUAA
rnacentral:rRNA from 1 species